rnacentral:lncRNA from 1 species
UAGUCACCUUCAAACAAACAAAUUUGAUAAAUUCAAACUUAGAGGUAGGAAGCAGGCACCAGAAAAGAUCACAGGUAUAAAUGGGUUAGACUUGUAAUUUAUUCUUAAGGAAAAAAUAAAUCUCUAUAGAACAUUUACAGAGAGAAGACACUUUACCAUUUUUAGUUGUAAAUGUUCUCCUAUAGGUGUUGACAUACUUCCUCACAUCAUCCUCCUUAGACAGGUUGAAAAGCUUGCGGAUUUUGGAAGCUCUCUUUGGACCCCUCAUUCUUGGCUUUUCAACAUCUGUCAGGCCAGGCAAAUCAUUUUCACCCUUCUUCACAAUUACCAAGUUGAGAACAGAGAGGUCAGGGCUGACAAUGCACCCACGAACAGACUUCCUCCUACGCUCUCCAUUGCGCCUUCCGUAACCACGGAAACAAGGAGUUCC